GGCGAACGCUGGCGGCGUGCCUAAUACAUGCAAGUCGAGCGCAGGAAACUGACGGAACUCUUCGGAGGGAAGGCAGUGGAAUGAGCGGCGGACGGGUGAGUAACACGUAAGGAACCUGCCUCAAGGAUUGGGAUAACUCCGAGAAAUCGGAGCUAAUACCGGAUAGUUCAUCGGACCGCAUGGUCCGUUGAUGAAAGGCGCUCCGGCGUCACCUUGAGAUGGCCUUGCGGUGCAUUAGCUAGUUGGUAGGGUAAUGGCCUACCAAGGCUAAGACGGUUAGCUGGUCUGAGAGGACGACCAGCCACAUUGGGACUGAGACACUGCCCAGACUCCUACGGGAGGCCGCAGUCGAGAAUAUUUAGCAAUGGACGAAAGUCUGACUAUGCGACGCCGCGUGCAGGAUGAAGGUCUUCGGAUUGUAAACUGCUUUUGUCAGGGGAGAAACCUGAAACGUUAACACCGUUUCAGCUGACGGUACCUGACGAAUAAGCCACGGCAAACCCCGUGCCAGCCGCCGCGGUAAAAC
rnacentral:rRNA from 1 species